UAUGGACUCAAUCUCUCCUGAUAUUCUGGCCAACGAAUUAAGCUUGUUAGCUUUGAAACUUGCUGGCCAAGAGAUAAGAUUUUCUGGUUGAGAAGGAGUCUAUAAAAGGCCACGUGCAGCAGGUGUUUUGCAAUCAAUUUUGGAGUUCUUCCACGUCCAUCUGAGCUUGGCUUAGAGAGAGCUACGUCCACGAAAACCCUGCUGGUUCAUCUCCUUUUGAGUGCACAAUAGGAGAUAGGAGAUCAUUGUAUCUUGGAGGAGAGCCGCUGUUGAACUCGUGCACCACGGCGAGGGCAUGAAUCUCCUUGAAGACAGCGCCUACCGGCGUGCCUUGAUCCUUCAGAGCUGCUGCACCACGACUUGCUGCAACAACUUCGUCCACAACCUGUUCGAGCUGCUGCCUACCACGACGUCGAUUCCAUCAAUUUCAAGGAGAUUCAUCGUCUUCAUCGACUCAUAGGUAACUGUUUCCAUGGCAACCUCAAACUCCUUCGAUGAUGCCAUGAAGCCUUAAAAGUUCAACGGCAACCACUUCAAGCGCUGGCAGACCCAGAUGAUGUAUUGGCUCACCAACUUGAAUGUGUACUCAGUCAUUACUGAUCCAGAGCCGCAUCCAGAUGAGCUUCUUCCUGGGGCUGCAGCAUAUGCUGAAAGUUAUCAGGCCAAGAACUUUAACUGUUGUGGCAGAAUUCUGAGCAUGCUUUCUGAUAAGUUUUAUGAUAUAUACAUGCAUCAUACCUCUGCUCGUACUCUGUGGGAAACUCUAGAGAAGAAGUACAGUGUCCCUGAUGCUGGAAAGGACUUGUACUUGGUUGAAAAAUACCAUGAUUUCAAGAUGACCAAUGGAAAGUCUGUGGUGGAGCAAACUCAUGAGCUCCAGCUUAUAGUGGGGGGGCUAAGCCACAGCAAGAUUGCUCUCCCUGAUAAGUAUCAGGUGGGAAUGGUGAUUGCAAAACUCCCUAAUUCUUGGAGAGAUUUUGCUACUGCCCUCAAACAUCGCAGAGAGGAAAUGACUAUGGAUGACCUCCUAGCUUCACUCGAUGUUGAGGAGAAAGCACGAGCAAAAGAUGCUCCAUUGGUUAAUGACGAUGAUAACUAGAGUGAAUUUCCUAGAUGCUCGUCAGAGAAGGAACAAGAAGGACCCAAGGAACCCUAAUGGUUUUAAACAAAGAGGAAAGAUCGACAAAGGCAAUGGCAAAAGAAAUGGCAAAAAUCUAAGUGGUUGCUUCGAGUGCGGUAAGCCUGGCCACAUGGCCAGAAACUGCCGUUACAAGAAAAGAAAUGAAAAGGUCCAAAAGGACAAACCUGAUGAUCAGACUGAUGCCAAAGUCAACAUGGUGAUUGACGGAGCCGAAAUUGCAAGGAACAACGAGGAGGCCGUUCUGUGACUGGUCUCGAGAGCAAGUCCACGGUGCUGGGUAGUGGUCAAGUGGAUCUGAAGCUAUCUUCAGGAAAUGUUCUGACCCUACACAACGUGCUCUAUGUGCCAUCGGGCAAUGUUAAUCUGAUUAGUGGAACGAUAUUAAUGAAGUUAGGGUAUAAGAUAGUUUGUGAGAGCAAUAAAGCUGUAAUAACCUUUAGUGGUUCGUUCAUUGGGAAAGGCUAUGUUGAUCGUGGCCUUAUUAGAUUGUCUUUGUUUCCUUGUUCAGGCACUAGUAAUACAGCAUUUGCAGUUCCAAAUU